rnacentral:tRNA from 2 species
GCAGGGGUACCCGAGCGGUCAAAGGGGCAGGGCUUAGGACCCUGUGACGUAGGUCUUCGAGCGUUCAAAUCGCUCCCCCUGCA